GUAGGCAUUAUGCAUCCGUGGCUCAUCGAUUUUAAGGCAAGUGAACGGGGUUCCAGCGAGCCGAGCAUACAUGAUUAUUUCAGAUUGAAAGGAUGCUAAGUGAGAUGUUGAGUCACUUGGAGUGCCAACCAAGAAAUAAGGAGCGCCGUCUAGCAUGGCUUAAGCACAAUGUGCAACUUUUCAAUGUUGUGGGUCUUGUAUUGCUAGCUCAUUUCAGACGUAUUUUUCCACUUUUUUUUUCAGUGGAUGCAUACUGAUGACGAUGAAACAAUUUUGCUGGUAAGUAAUUGCUCUUCCUUGCAUGAAUUAUUGAUUCCCUUUACUCUUGAUAAGGUUUUUUGAAGUGAUUGCCAAUUUUAAAAUUCAGUCACACUUGUGCUUAACUUUUGGUCAGGUUCUCCUUUUUGAGAAUUCAUACUGAAGUCUAUUAUGUUUACGCUGAAUCCUGAUUCUUUGUCAUAUAAUGUACACUUGAGCAAUAUAUUUGAUGAGAGAAUCUCAUCAAUCUAUGCAGCCCCAUCAUUUAUUGAUGAGAUCACACAGCGUGUGACACAAGACGUUGAGUCUAGGUUCACUACGACGAUCAAGAACCUAGCAGCACGUGUUUUGUUCUUAGAGUCACAUGGUGUGGCUGGGAGUAUGAGCUUGAGAGAGGUGUCAGAUGCAUCUAGUGGGCAACAAGCUUCAAAAGAAAAUGAAUAGAGACAUCAUCUUCUUCUCCUUGUCUUUGUACAUUCCAUUCUUUUCCUCUCUUAUCAGGUCCAAUCUCUAGGAUUGCUUCUUCUAAAAUGACAAAACUGAAGAAACUGAAGAAUGACAUUCCAUUUCUUCCCGAGAAAUCUUUUUUCGGAUUCUGAUUUUCCUUCGUGCAAAGUUUCUGCAUAACUGUGGGAGAUAUGUGUGCAGGGCUUGGUCAAAAAUUAUAUCCAGUAGUUUGGUAUACCAUAUAAUUCUGGUUAUCUUGAGCUUAAUGAGGGAGACUUCAAAAUUACCUUGAGCUUAAUUUUGUAUAAAAGCUUACCUUUUUCAAUUGUGGAGAAGGAGCUUUUCCCCUCGUCAUAUCGCUUUCAUUUCUUGCACUGGGGAGUACAAGGUGUUAUGCCAGUUCAUUGAUAGAGUGGAGAAACACCCGAUGAAGAAAAUUGAUAAGAAGAUUGGCCAGUUCUGGAUUGUAUUUUUUUCAUAAAAGAACUUUUCCCAAGCUUUUAGUUGUAAUAACUUUUACAUAUGGCUCAAAUUUUGAGACUCAAAUAGAAUGUUCAAUCAAACU